rnacentral:rRNA from 1 species
UUGAACGCUGGCGGCAUGCCUUACACAUGCAAGUCGAACGGCAGCACGGGUGCUUGCACCUGGUGGCGAGUGGCGAACGGGUGAGUAAUACAUCGGAACAUGUCCUGUAGUGGGGGAUAGCCCGGCGAAAGCCGGAUUAAUACCGCAUACGAUCUACGGAUGAAAGCGGGGGACCUUCGGGCCUCGCGCUAUAGGGUUGGCCGAUGGCUGAUUAGCUAGUUGGUGGGGUAAAGGCCUACCAAGGCGACGAUCAGUAGCUGGUCUGAGAGGACGACCAGCCACACUGGGACUGAGACACGGCCCAGACUCCUACGGGAGGCAGCAGUGGGGAAUUUUGGACAAUGGGCGAAAGCCUGAUCCAGCAAUGCCGCGUGUGUGAAGAAGGCCUUCGGGUUGUAAAGCACUUUUGUCCGGAAAGAAAUCCUUGGCUCUAAUACAGUCGGGGGAUGACGGUACCGGAAGAAUAAGCACCGGCUAACUACGUGCCAGCAGCCGCGGUAAUACGUAGGGUGCGAGCGUUAAUCGGAAUUACUGGGCGUAAAGCGUGCACAGGCGGUUUGCUAAGACCGAUGUGAAAUCCCCGGGCUCAACCUGGGAACUGCAUUGGUGACUGGCAGGCUAGAGUAUGGCAGAGGGGGGUAGAAUUCCACGUGUAGCAGUGAAAUGCGUAGAGAUGUGGAGGAAUACCGAUGGCGAAGGCAGCCCCCUGGGCCAAUACUGACGCUCAUGCACGAAAGCGUGGGGAGCAAACAGGAUUAGAUACCCCGGUAGUCCACGCCCUAAACGAUGUCAACUAGUUGUUGGGGAUUCAUUUCCUUAGUAACGUAGCUAACGCGUGAAGUUGACCGCCUGGGGAGUACGGUCGCAAGAUUAAAACUCAAAGGAAUUGACGGGGACCCGCACAAGCGGUGGAUGAUGUGGAUUAAUUCGAUGCAACGCGAAAAACCUUACCUACCCUUGACAUGGUCGGAAUCCCGCUGAGAGGUGGGAGUGCUCGAAAGAGAACCGGCGCACAGGUGCUGCAUGGCUGUCGUCAGCUCGUGUCGUGAGAUGUUGGGUUAAGUCCCGCAACGAGCGCAACCCUUGUCCUUAGUUGCUACGCAAGAGCACUCUAAGGAGACUGCCGGUGACAAACCGGAGGAAGGUGGGGAUGACGUCAAGUCCUCAUGGCCCUUAUGGGUAGGGCUUCACACGUCAUACAAUGGUCGGAACAGAGGGUUGCCAACCCGCGAGGGGGAGCUAAUCCCAGAAAACCGAUCGUAGUCCGGAUUGCACUCUGCAACUCGAGUGCAUGAAGCUGGAAUCGCUAGUAAUCGCGGAUCAGCAUGCCGCGGUGAAUACGUUCCCGGGUCUUGUACUCACCGCC